CAGUAUUGUUGUUUCUAAAUCAAUAUGAACUUGUUUUCUUUGCGCUAUUUGAGGUCUGACAGCACUGCAUCAUUUUUUGCUAUUUUGACCUUUUCUCAUUUUCUGCAAAUAAAUACUAAAGUUUUGCUUGGAA